CCUCAGUUGGUAGAGCAUGGCGCUUGCAACGCCAGGGUUGUGGGUUCGAUUCCCAC
rnacentral:tRNA from 1 species